rnacentral:rRNA from 1 species
ACACGUAGGGGGCGAGCGUUGUUCGGAAUCAUUGGGCGUAAAGGGUGCGCAGGCGGCUUGGCAAGUCUGGUGUAAAAUGGUUGUGCUCAACACAAUCAUGCGCUGGAAACUGGGCGGCUUGAGUCCCGUAGGGGAUGCCGGAAUUCCAGGUGUAGGGGGGAAAUCUGUAGAUAUCUGGAAGAACACCGAUGGCGAAGGCAGGCAUCUGGCCGGAGACUGACGCUGAGGCGCGAAGGCGCGGGGAGCGAACAGGUUUAGAUACCCUGGUAGUCCGCGCAGUAAACGAUGCGCACCAGGUGUCGGGCGGCAGCGCCCGGUACCGGAGCUAACGCGAUGAGUGCGCCGCCUGGGGAGUAUGCCCGCAAGGGUGAAACUUAAAGGAAUUGACGGGG